AGAGUUUGAUCCUGGCUCAGAACGAACGCUGGCGGCGUGGAUUAGGCAUGCAAGUCGAACGGAACUUCUAGCUUUUUCGGAAGUUUAGUGGCGAAAGGGUGAGUAACACGUGGGUUACCUGCCCUAGGGUUCGGGAUAACCUGUCGAAAGACGGGCUAAUACCGGAUACGUCCUGCACUUUUCGAAGUGCAGGGGAAAGAUGGGGAUCCGUAAGGACCUAUCACCCUUGGAUGGGCCCGCGGCCUAUCAGCUAGUUGGUGAGGUAAUGGCUCACCAAGGCUAAGACGGGUAGCUGGUCUGAGAGGAUGGUCAGCCACACUGGAACUGAGACACUGUCCAGACACCUACGGGUGGCUGCAGUCGAGAAUCUUUCGCAAUGGGGGAAACCCUGACGACGCGACGCCGCGUGGAGGAUGAAGGCCUUCGGGUUGUAAACUCCUGUCAGCAGGGGAGAACAAGCUGUCGAUGAAUAAUCGAUAGCUUUGACAGUACCUGCAGAGGAAGCCACGGCUAACUCUGUGCCAGCAGCCGCGGUAAUACAGAGGUGGCAAGCGUUGUUCGGAUUUAUUGGGCGUAAAGGGUCCGUAGGCGGCCUGGAAAGUUGGAUGUGAAAUCCCACAGCUUAACUGUGGAACUGCAUUCAAAACUUCUAGGCUCGAGUGUGAUAGGGGUAAAGGGAAUUCCCGGUGUAAGGGUGAAAUCUGCAGAGAUCGGGAGGAACACCAGUCGCGAAGGCGCUUUACUGGAUCACUACUGACGCUGAGGGACGAAAGCCAGGGGAGCAAACGGGAUUAGAUACCCUGGUAGUC
rnacentral:rRNA from 1 species